AAAGUACUCCCUCCUUCCCAAAAAUCUUGUCUUAGAUUUGUCUAGAUACAGAUGUAUCAAGUCACAUUUUAGUAUUAGAUACAUCCGUAUCUAGACAAAUCUAAGACAAGAAAUUUGGGACAGAGGGAGUAGUUG
rfam:Triticum aestivum genome assembly, contig: Triticum_aestivum_CS42_TGACv1_scaffold_322398_4BL